rnacentral:rRNA from 1 species
CAAGUCGAACGAGGUUCAGUCAGUAGCAAUACUGACGAAGACCUAGUGGCGAACGGGUGAGUAGCACGUGAGCAACCUGCCCCGAAGACCGGGACAACACCGGGAAACCGGUGCUAAUACCGGAUAGCCCCAUUGAGUCGCAUGGCUCGAUGAGGAAAUGGAUUCCGCUUCGGGAGGGGCUCGCGGCCUAUCAGCUUGUUGGUGAGGUAACGGCUCACCAAGGCUCCGACGGGUAGCUGGUCUGAGAGGACGAUCAGCCACACUGGGACUGAGACACGGCCCAGACUCCUACGGGAGGCAGCAGUGGGGAAUCUUGCACAAUGGGCGAAAGCCUGAUGCAGCAACGCCGCGUGAGGGACGAAGGCUUUCUGAGUUGUAAACCUCUUUCAGCAGGGACGAUUGUGACGGUAC